rnacentral:rRNA from 1 species
UACGAAGGGUGCAAACGUUGCUCGGAAUCAUUGGGCGUAAAGCGCACGUAGGCGGUUCGUUAAGUCGGAUGUGAAAGCCCUCGGCUCAACCGAGGAAGGGCAUCCGAAACUGGCGUGCUUGAGUAUGGAAGAGGGUCUCGGAAUUCCCGGUGUAGAGGUGAAAUUCGUAGAUAUCGGGAGGAACACCAGUGGCGAAGGCGGAGACCUGGGCCAAUACUGACGCUGAGGUGCGAAAGCGUGGGGAGCAAACAGG